GGCUGGCCUGGAGGCGGGGCUUAUGGAGUCUCGCGGGCCUCGGUCUCGAACUCUCGGCCUCGCUAAGCUAAGCAGCUAAAGGUAAUGGACCGUUUUUCUUGAUAUUUCUUCCACAUUCUGGAUCUGAAGCGUCGGACUUUGGUCAAAGAUAAAGUGUCUGUCCUGGAUUUGAAGCCGUUUUGUUGCUGCUGCGUUUAAGGACCGUCAAAAAAACCUGGCAGGUACCUGCAGUAGAAGGGGCGGGAUACACAGAGUCUUUACCAGCGAUCAAAGAACUAAGAUCCUCAGUUCAGACGGCCAGAGGGGCCCACCUCGCAGCCUGGUGUGCCCCAGGAGACGUGCCAUGACCGGGACAAGAGAAGGGUCGCGGGGUGCCAGAGCCUAACCCGGCUACUGAUGGGCGAAGGCGAGGCUCACCCUGGACAGCAUUGUUCUAGAGCUCUCUGGUUACUGCUAAAAGGGCGAAGGAAAGGCCAGAGAGAAAAGGAGGGAAGGGAACCAUGAGGGAGGACAAAGAGACCACUUAAAAUUCCCAAAAGGAGACUCUCUCUUCUUUCUCAGUCGAGCAUCAGAUAAUAUCUGUUUAAGAGACAUUUUUCGCUUCACUUCUUUCAACUUUGCAGACCAGACAACGUGUUUCACCCCCCAGAGAGCAGUUUGAUGUUUGAGAUGAUGCAAAAAAAAAGUUAAAGUUUAGAGCUCAUUCGCAUUUUCCACUGACUGUAACUUCACAUUUAAUUGAGGAAGUUGUAGUAAAGUGUGGUUUGUGUGGACAGUGAUGCUCAAUGUCUAUAAAGCAUGAGUCAUUUGUACAUCUAGAGCCAAUAUCAAAGCAGUCUUUUCACCA